rnacentral:sRNA from 1 species
AUCAGAAACAUCUGCUCGAACUUCUCUCCUCUCCCACGAUGAACCCUACAAGCCCAAUCCUCUCAUCCCUUCAUUCAAAUCAGGAGCAAAUCGAUCAAAAAUCGGUCACUUGGGAGUAGUAGAUGCCAAUGAAAGAGGUGCAGAUUUCAACGAGUAGUGCAGUAAGGCAAGCAGCGGCUUGCGGCGCGCGGCUCCGGCAGGUGUCGGCGUCGACUGCCGCGCUUGCGGCUGCUUGGCGACGGCUACAGCAGGCUGCAUCAGGCUGCGGAGGGUGUCGGCGUUGAGUGCGGUGGGCUGCGGCGUCGGCUGCUUCAGGCGGUGUGGUGGCUACGAUGGGCAGUAGCAGAAAGAAACGUAUAUACUCUAUACUGAAAUGGUUGUGACCUGCUAUCUCUGUCUAUCGUGUAGGCAUUUAGAUGUAGAUUUUCAUCUGUUCCUUGUUGAUCUACUAGAAUAUUUCUCCUUUUUUUUUUGCUUAUCCUGUAGGAAUGGCCGAGGUUCUUGACAGCCAUUGUUAGGGUUAAGUCUUAUUUCACCACAUCGUUUUUUUCUUUUUGUCAAAGGGCAUAUGUUAAAGGAAACAAUGUCAAAAUUUCUAUCGAAAUGAUGCUAGUUGACU